AUUGAACGCUGGCGGAAUGCUUUACACAUGCAAGUCGAGCGGCAGCGCGGGGCAACCUGGCGGCGAGCGGCGAACGGGUGAGUAAUGCAUCGGAACGUACCCAGUCGUGGGGGAUAACUGUCCGAAAGGACAGCUAAUACCGCAUACGUCCUGAGGGAGAAAGCGGGGGAUCGCAAGACCUCGCGCGAUUGGAGCGGCCGAUGCCGGAUUAGCUAGUUGGUAGGGUAAAGGCCUACCAAGGCGACGAUCCGUAGCUGGUCUGAGAGGACGACCAGCCACACUGGAACUGAGACACGGUCCAGACUCCUACAGGAGGCAGCAGU
rnacentral:rRNA from 1 species